AACGUUAGCUUUCCGAUAGCUCUGUGGACAAGCCCGUGGCAGCUUCCUCCCUGCCCAAACACAGCCAGAUUUCGGAAGUUUUCCCGGAGCACAGUCCUUGGAGUACAGAAGCGGUCGUAGCCAGGUCAGCUUGCUCGUGGAAAGCAGGAGCGACGGGGCACUGAGGAAGAGUUUGGCCGGGAUUGACAUGGCAACGCGUCGCGAUGAGAAGAUGGAGGAGAGGGUCAGAAAAAUCCUGACCGCCUCGUGUGACAAGAUAUCCCAACUCUUUCUUCUGAAGGACAUGCCCGAGCA
rnacentral:lncRNA from 1 species